rnacentral:lncRNA from 1 species
AAUAAGCGGCCUCCUUUCAGUCUUCUGUAAGAAUUGAGCUCCAUCCGAACUUCCAUAGUGGAUGGAUUCCGGACGAGCUUCUACAACAGACGGGCUCCAGCAGCUGAAUUUCUACAAUGGUCGAUCUCCUCCGGUGUCUGUCGAACCUCCCCAGCAAUCAACCUUCAAUAGCAUUAGCCGAACUUCAACAAUGCCAUCCAGACUUCCACAAGAUCCCCUGACUCCUCCAGCGGACGAACCUCCCCAACGUCAUCCAAAGUCCACCUCCGACCGACCCUCCACCAGAUUCUUCAUGAAACUGAACUUUCCUAACAAAAAGUCUCCAUCCGAGCUUCUACAGUAGAUGGUUCCCGCCUGUAGCAUCAGUGCUCUGGGCACCCAACAACAGUAGACCCAUCAUAACCUCAGAUAUUUUUGAGCUCCUCCCAGAUUGAUGAGAUAGAGAGCCAUUCCACUCCAUCGGAUAUCCCAGCCGAGCUUCAGCCGACAGA